GACGAACGCUGGCGGCGUGCUUAACGCAUGCAAGUCGAACGGAAAGGCCUGCUUUCCCUUGUGGAUUGCGGGUGCUCGAGUGGCGAACGGGUGAGUAACACGUGAGUGAUCUGCCCCCAACUUGGGUAUAAGCCUGGGAAACUGGGUCUAAUUCCCGAUAGGACUGCAGGGUGGUGCCUGUGGUGGAAAACGAUUUUCUAGUGGUUGGGGAUGAGCUCGCGGCCUAUCAGCUUGUUGGUGGGGUAAUGGCCUACCAAGGCGGCGACGGGUAGCCGGCCUGAGAGGGUGGACGGCCACAUUGGGACUGAGAUACGGCCCAGACUCCUACGGGAGGCAGCAGUGGGGAAUAUUGCACAAUGGGCGGAAGCCUGAUGCAGCGACGCCGCGUGGGGGAUGACGGCCUUCGGGUUGUAAACUCCUUUCGACCGCGAGGAAGCCACCUGGUUGGAAGGGUGGUGACGGUAGUGGUAGAAGAAGCACCGGCUAACUACGUG
rnacentral:rRNA from 1 species